GACCUGAUCCCUGGCAGUAAAACACAUUUUUACUGUGAUUUUCUCUGGUUGGUUUUUUUUAGAACCCCAUUCAACUUUGAAGACUGUCCAGCUGCAUAGCAUCGCAGGCCUGGAUUGGAUUGCUGAGCUCCAGGUUUCAACCCAAGACCUGGGACUGCUGGAUCCGCUGCCUACUUUGCACUGGAUAAGAUAAGAUUUUGGAUCCAAAGAAACACAUGGCCAUUUAACAAAGACUUGACUGACUGACUUAAAUUACUGAACUAAGAAAACAAAACUUCCAAAGGACGAACUGAACUAUAAGGAAUCUGAACCAAAAGAAAAUACACUGCCUGAUAAAAAAGGUGGACACUUUAUGUUGGAACAAAAAAAAACUGUACCGUAAUAUUCUGUUUCAAGUUGUAUUAAAUAAUCUGUUCAUUCUUGAUAA